rnacentral:rRNA from 1 species
CUCAAAGAUUAAGCCAUGCAAGUGGUUAUUUAACCCGACAGUUUAACUAAGUGUUAUCAUACUAUUUAUUACACACACAACCUAUGUGAAUUUCAUUUUCACUUACGCAACUGCAGACAGCUGCUUAAUACAGUCACACUUGUCUUGACUUGGCUAAUUACAUUUCGACAUUCCCCUCCGGGGGUUUAGUUGGUAAACACACACACGUGAUUUCUUCACUGAGAGAGCUGCUGUACACACUACAGCACGCUUUAUCAUCACAUUGAACCACACACACACAUUUAAUGGAUAACUCAGGGAAAGUUUGGCUAAUACGUACGAGUCACUAACUUUACACAACUAAUUAGAGUGCAUCACACAUUACUAGCGCUCUUAACACAACACAACUCAGCACUCAAUGGUAAACUUAUGCGUCUGCGUACUUCUGUCUUCGGACGAUACGCUUAACGUAUGAUUCGUUUAAAUUGCAACAUGAGAGACAUUGAGCACGCAGUCUUUUGGUCCUUGUGACUGAUUGACAUCUACGCUGAGCAGACUUUGAGAUAAAUUUUAUUUCGAAGCAUGUCAUACAAGCAUCUACAGCAUCAAGUCACAGGGUUGGCAAGUGUAUUAUUGAACCUUCAAAGCAGUCACGCAUACGGAAGAGUAGUUUCUGAUCCCAUAGAAGGAGCACCGUACAAUGAGAGACCGCUCUUAGUUCUAAGGAACGCAGCAGGCGCGUAAAUUGCCCAAUGCUAGUACCCUACUACAUGCGCAUACGCACAUUUAAUACAAAGUAUUGAUUUAAAACACUUAUCACUAAACUAUCUAAAUAUCAUAUUAACCUUGUUACACUGUACGUAAUACACUCAUUAAUAUCUACUGAGGCAGUGACAAGCUGUAACGGUUGAGUAUAAUAAUGACGAGUGUCUGGCAUUGCCGCUGCCUUCGGGUUAGCUUGGCAAUUUUGCCGACGCUUUGUGUGCUCAAUUGGAAUGCGGUGAGUUUAAGCAACUCAGAACCUUUGGAUGGUAGUUUCUUCGACUCUACUGUUCACGUAUCUGAACUUUCAAGUGGAGGGCAAGUCUGGUGCNNNNNNCCGCGGUAAUACCAGCUCCACUGGCCUAUACAAUCAUUGUUGCGGUUAAGAGGCUCGUAGUUGGAUUGAACAAUUUGAUUUCAGCGUGUUUAAAGCACUCGAAUUUAUUUAUUGAUGAACGCACGCACACAAACACACACAAACACACACGUUGUGUGAUGGGUUCAUUGAUAUCGACACUUUAGCGCUAUUAAGAUAUAUCGCGAGACGCACACACACUGGAUAGUAUAUAAAAUAAAUUUCAACACUGUGAACAAAUCAGAGUGUAUCAAACAUGUCGUUUUUGAAUGCGCAUUGAAUGUCUUAUCAUGGGAUGUUGCCUUUCUAAUAUAUAAAUGACCGUUUGGCUAAAACUAUACUCACUCACAACUUAUGCAAUCCACUGCAUAUUCGCAUCAGCUUUUAGCGGACAGAGUCAUUUAUUUUGAGUUUACCUAACCAUUAUGUCGAUGGGGAUAGUUGGAGUCAACAGUACUGCUGGGCGAGAGGUGAAAUUCAUUGACCCUAGCAAGACUACCUAAAGAGAAAGCAGGUGGCUAGGCUAUACUCUUUGUGAUUCGUCUUGCACACAGCAACACGCACACACACACUUCACAUGUGCUACAGCUAGUUUGAAUCAAAUACACUUUACAAUGAAGAACGAAGGUGGGGGGAUCAAAGAGGAUCAGAUACCCUCGUCGUCCCAUUAAUUACAUCAAACGAUGGGCUCUCAAUUGCAUUAUUAAUAAUAUUUGCAUAUGACCUCAACCUACUAAAUCUUAUUAACUCUGGCUUGAGCUCGUAGUUCGCUACGCUCGCCUAAAUUUAUAUUGAUUUCAAUGUACGGUCUCAAUGAAGACAUAUGCAUUCUGUACUAAAAUUUAGUGUGUCUCGCUAUACAACUAACAGAGUCUCAAAAUUUUUUUUUUGAACUUUUAGUUUGGGCCACUUGAUUUUGGGAGCUUUGCGCUCAAUUUUGGUGAGAGGUAAGCCCCAUGUUACGUGACCCCCAACGUAUACCCCUGGGUAUUUCGCUUGUCGUGCGUCACUAACACUACAUUUAUUUUGGUGUGAAGCACGCUUUAGGCACGCGCUUACUGCAGAAAUGUUUGAGACAUUCCCCUCCGGGGGUAGUAUGCACGCAAGUGUGAAACUUGAAGGAAUUGACGGAAGGGCACCACAAGAACGCGUGGAGCAUGUGGCUUAAUUUGACUCAACGCGGGAAAUCUUACCGGGUCCGGACACACUGAGGAUUGACAGGCAAUAUAUAGAUCCCUAGCGAUCUAUUGUUAAAUAUGCUAGUCCUUUCAUGAUUAUGUGAUAGGUGGUGCAUGGCCGUUCUUAGUUCGUGGAGUGAUCUGUCUGCUUAAUUGCGUUUCACUAAGGAGCUAUAUUAUUCAUGUAUGUUGUUAGCGCAUUGACCCCUCGUUUGCUGUUGUGUUUCAACACACACUCAUCUGUAGAGUGCGUCUUUGAUUUACGUCUAGCUCAUACGAUUAGCUCCUGAAAGCAACGAACGUGACCGCAACCUCUUGUUGCCUUCAUUUCCUACGUAUCACACACUUCACGUGUUGUGCAUACUAUACGGAGGCUUUUUAAACUAGAGGGACCGCUGUUAUCUUCUUAAACCAGAGGAAGGUUGCGGCAAUAACAGGUCUGUGAUGCCCUUAGAUGUUCCGGGCUGCACACGUGCUACAAUGAUUAUUGCAGUGAGCAUCUCAUUUACAUUCAUAAUACAUCGCAAGCGCGAGUCCGUUUGUUCUUUGUUUCAGUUCAUGCUGUUCAAAGCUUCAAAUGUAGUAUCUCUGCGCGCGAUAAAGCCUGCUUUGAAAGCUUAGUGGGUAAUCAAUUAGAAGUAAUGAUUUCCUAAAUCUAUCGCACUUAUAUGUAUGGCGUCUUUACCCAGCUAGCCUUUUGUGCUAGAAUCCGUGUGUAUUGACGAUUGAUUUCUUUUAAUCAAUUGCCUAUCUUACGGUACCUUACGUGCAAUUGUCAAUUCAUGGUGGGGACAGACCAUUGUUAAUUGUUGGUCUCGGUCUUAACUAGGAAUGCCUUGUACGGGUCUUUGGUUCAACAGACCACCCGGAAUACGUCCCUGCCCUUUAUACACACCGCCCGUCGCUCUUACCGAUGGACUUCUCUGUGAGUUUGAGGGACUGAAUUAAUCUCUUUUAGAGAUCAGCAUUUAUGGAAACUUAAACGAACAGUGUGGUCUAAAGGAUGGAGAAGUCGUAACAAGGAAUC